AGUGAACGCUGGCGGUAGGCCUAACACAUGCAAGUCGAACGGUAGCACAGUAAGAGCUUGCUCUUACGGGUGGCGAGUGGCGGACGGGUGAGGAAUACAUCGGAAUCUACUUUUUCGUGGGGGAUAACGUAGGGAAACUUACGCUAAUACCGCAUACGACCUACGGGUGAAAGCAGGGGAUCUUCGGACCUUGCGCGAUUGAAUGAGCCGACGUCGGAUUAGCUAGUUGGCGGGGUAAAGGCCCACCAAGGCGACGAUCCGUAGCUGGUCUGAGAGGAUGAUCAGCCACACUGGAACUGAGACACGGUCCAGACUCCUACGGGAGGCAGCAGUGGGGAAUAUUGGACAAUGGGCGCAAGCCUGAUCCAGCCAUACCGCGUGGGUGAAGAAGGCCUUCGGGUUGUAAAGCCCUUUUGUUGGGAAAGAAAAGCAGCAGGUUAAUACCCCGCUGUUCUGACGGUACCCAAAGAAUAAGCACCGGCUAACUUCGAG
rnacentral:rRNA from 1 species